rnacentral:rRNA from 1 species
UACGUAGGGUGCAAGCGUUGUCCGGAAUUAUUGGGCGUAAAGAGCUCGUAGGCGGUUUGUCGCGUCUGCUGUGAAAACCCGAGGCUCAACCUCGGGCCUGCAGUGGGUACGGGCAGACUAGAGUGCGGUAGGGGAGAUUGGAAUUCCUGGUGUAGCGGUGGAAUGCGCAGAUAUCAGGAGGAACACCAAUGGCGAAGGCAGAUCUCUGGGCCGUAACUGACGCUGGAGGAGCGAAAGCAUGGGGAGC